UUUUGACGGACAAGGAAAAAUGGCAUGGGGAUGAAUAAUUGUCAUAAAGAUUCAAACUGCAAGAUGUUGCCUGUGAAUAUAAGGUUUGAUUUCAUUACCAAUAGCAAAGUCCAA